GAUGAACGCUGGCGGCGUGCCUAAUACAUGCAAGUCGAGCGAACAGACGAGGAGCUUGCUCCUCUGACGUUAGCGGCGGACGUGUGAGUAACGCGUGGAUAACCUACCUAUAAGACUGGUAUAACUUCGGGAAACCGGAGCUAAUCCCGGAUAAUAUAUUAAACCGCAUGGUUCAAUAGUGAAAGACGGUUUUGCUGUCACUUAUAGAUGGAUCCGCGCCGCAUUAGCUAGUUGGUAAGGUAACGGCUUACCAAGGCGACGAUGCGUAGCCGACCUGAGAGGGUGAUCGGCCACACGGGAACUGAGACACGGUCCAGACUCCUACGGGAGGCAGCAGUAGGGAAUCUUCCGCAAUGGGCGAAAGCCUGACGGAGCAACGCCGCGUGAGUGAUGAAGGUCUUCGGAUCGUAAAACUCUGUUAUUAGGGAAGAACAAAUGUGUAAGUAACUAUGCACGUCUUGACGGUACCUAAUCAGAAAGCCACGGCUAACUACGUG
rnacentral:rRNA from 1 species